GACGAACGCUGGCGGCGUGCCUAAUACAUGCAAGUCGAACGCAGUGGGGACGGGUGAGUAACACGUGGGUAACCUCCCAUCAGAGGGGAUAACACUUGGAAACAGGUGCUAAACCGAUACUGAUGGAUGGACCCGCGGUGCAUUAGCUAGUUGGUGAGGUAACGGCUCACCAAGGCCACGAUGCAUAGCCGAGCUACGAGAGUGUUCCGCCACUAUGGGACUGAUACACGGCCCAGACUCCUACGGUGGUCAGCAGUAGGGAAUCGUCGACAAUGGACGAAAGUCUGACCGAGCAAGUGCGCGUGAGUGAAGAAGGUUUUCGGAUCGUAAAACUCUGUUGUUAGGGAAUCGGUAUCUAACCAGAAGGCCCCGGCUAACUACUUGCCAGCCGCCGCGGUAAUAC
rnacentral:rRNA from 1 species